rnacentral:lncRNA from 10 species
GGAAUUAUUGAGAAAAGAAAAAUCUUGGGAUGAUAAAUAUGGAGCAUCGGCCAUGGCCCUGACUAUGGGAAGGAAACCCACUGUCCCAGGGUUAAAGAUGAGUAACUAGAUUUACAUGACAGAAGGAAAGGGGCCAAAGACCAAGACCACACCAAAGGGUGAGGAUCUCUAAAAUCCAGAAGUGAAAUAUCUUGGCAAGAAAAUUAAGCCCCAAGUGGCUUCAACAUUUGGCCUGGUGGUCAAGGAACUGUCAUAGUUACUGGGAUAACAACCAUUAUACAUCCAGGGAGGCUGUUCUCAGAAUCUUUCAUAAUUAAAUCUCUAAAGAGCUGCUGUUUCAAGUAACCCAGGACUUUGGGUGAAAGUAUUUAGGGCAGUCGGGACUCCAAAGGACCUUGCAAAAGGUGGAACUAGACUAAACCAUUGACAUGACAGAAGCAGAAGCAUUC